rnacentral:rRNA from 1 species
UACGUAGGGCGCGAGCGUUGUCCGGAAUUAUUGGGCGUAAAGAGCUCGUAGGCGGCCGGUUGCGUCUGCUGUGAAAUCCCGGGGCUUAACCCCGGGCGUGCAGUGGAUACGGGCCGGCUGGAGGCAGGCAGGGGAGAAUGGAAUUCCCGGUGUAGCGGUGAAAUGCGCAGAUAUCGGGAGGAACGACCGGUGGCGAAGGCGGUUCUCUGGGCCUGUACUGACGCUGAGAGCGAAAGCGUGGGGAGCGAACAGG